UCCCUUCGGGGACCUAGUGACAGGUGCUGCAUGGCUGUCGUCAGCUCGUGUCGUGAGAUGUUGGGUUAAGUCCCGCAACGAGCGCAACCCUCGUCCUUAGUUGCCAUCAUUAAGUUGGGCACUUUAAGGAAACUGCCGGUGAUAAGCCGGAGGAAGGUGGGGAUGACGUCAAGUCCUCAUGGCCCUUACAGGCUGGGCUACACACGUGCUACAAUGGCAUCUACAGUGGGCAGCUAUUCCGCAAGGAUGCGCUAAUCUCCAAAAGAUGUCUCAGUUCGGAUUGUCCUCUGCAACUCGAGGGCAUGAAGGCGGAAUCGCUAGUAAUCGCGGAUCAGCAUGCCGCGGUGAAUACGUUCCCAGGCCUU
rnacentral:rRNA from 1 species